CGCCCGGGGCGCGCACGCCGUGGGGGCGGAGGGGAGAGAAGCGCGGCGCGGGGGGUGGGGCUGCGCCAGGGGCGGGGCCUGUGCCCCGAUGAUUGGCGUGGAGUGCAGAGCUCUUCCCAGGGUAAAGACCGGCGGGCAGCUCGCCUCUGAGAGUGCCGAAGGUGACAGCGGUGUCACAGAAGUAAAGAUGAGACAGCUAGGCUCCCAGAGGCAAAGCAGCUCCCACAAGCUCCUAAGACUGGGAGACAAGGGACUUCAAUGUGAAGAAUACCAAACUGGGAGACGUUUUCGAAGAAGGACUCCUCGCCUCUCCUAGACCACAAACUAUCUGGAGCUGAGCCAGUGAACAAUCCAUCAUCCGGAGACCCUCUUGUGCCCUGGCUUCCUGGCUGUGCCAUGACGCACAGCUAGAUGGUGCUAUGCCCAAGGCCCCAUUCUGGAGCUCUAGGACUAAUGUAAAGUUUGCCUUCUUCCCCUAAGAAGUUAUCGGUGCUGACCCCAUCUUGCCUCAUAUCCGUUUUCCUCAGUGACCACCAGAAGUCCAAAUCCCAGCCUCUGCAGUGAUUCACUAUCACCCUGACACAUCGUCCCCAUCCUGCUCUUCACGUAUCUGAUAUGGACAUCCCACGUUUUGCCUGUCCAGUACCCUGCCCUCCUUCUCUCGAUGACUGCAUUGCAGUUUUCCUUUGAAGAACCAUUCCCUUACUUGCCAACAUGCGGUUCUGGUGAGUUCUGUCCACCGUAAGUGGGCAGCGGACCCAGGCCUGGCCAAUCAGAGAUGCCUCCACACUAGCUACAGUGGACGGUUAGGGUCGGGAUUUCACUGGUGUGAUAAGGGAAGAGGCGGUGGCUGAAGACUGAGUCUACCUGUUGGACAGCCAUCCACUGCUCUGUGGGGAGAAGCUGCCUGAGAACAGAGCCAACGCAGAGGAGAGCACCCUGGGGACAUGUUUGGGACCCCGAUGCCUCUGAGACGAAAGCCAGCAGUCCCACUGGCCUUCAGGCAUGUGAGCAAAAUAAAUUCUCUUUUCUUUUGCUUAAUUAAGUUUGA
rnacentral:lncRNA from 1 species